rnacentral:rRNA from 1 species
GGGGGGGGCAAGCGUUGUUCGGAAUUACUGGGCGUAAAGGGCUCGUAGGCGGCCAACUAAGUCAGACGUGAAAUCCCUCGGCUUAACCGGGGAACUGCGUCUGAUACUGGAUGGCUUGAGUUCGGGAGAGGGAUGCGGAAUUCCAGGUGUAGCGGUGAAAUGCGUAGAUAUCUGGAGGAACACCGGUGGCGAAGGCGGCAUCCUGGACCGACACUGACGCUGAGGAGCGAAAGCCAGGGGAGCAAACGGGAUUAGAUACCCCGGUAGUCCUGGCCCUAAACGAUGAAUGCUUGGUGUGGCGGGUAUCGAUCCCUGCCGUGCCGAAGCUAACGCAUUAAGCAUUCCGCCUGGGGAGUACGGUCGCAAGGGUG